rnacentral:misc_RNA from 1 species
GUAGGUGAACCUGCGGAAGGAUCAUUAAAUGAAGCAACCUAGGAGCCUGAGAUAUGGCCACCGGGCACACCUUCCACCCUUUGUUUAUCACACUUUGUUGCUUUGGCAGGCCUGCCUUCGGGCUGCUGGCUCCGGCCGGCGAGCGCCUGCCAGAGGACCCAAACUCUGUUUGUCUGUAACGUCUGAGUACUAUAUAAUAGUUAAAACUUUCAACAACGGAUCUCUUGGUUCUGGCAUCGAUGAAGAACGC